rnacentral:lncRNA from 1 species
GUGAGACAAAUAAUAUCAAAAUUAUAGAAACUUCUACCAGCUCUAACUCUAAAUAUUGACAAUUCUGUGUUAAGGGGGUGUAAAAUUCAGUUUGACAGCUUCAGACGUGAUAAAAUUUGACCUUUUUCAACAGGACCAAAUCACUACUUAACAUAAAGAUUCAGCUAACUAGCACCCAAUUUUUUUUAACAUGUAAUUACAUCCCCCUACUUAAUAUUUCAUGCAUUUAAUAUCAAGAAAUAAAUUGGGAAAGUGUAUUAACUAAAAC